GAGUUUGAUCGUGGCUCAGAUUGAACGCUGGCGGCAGGCCUAACACAUGCAAGUCGAGCGGAUGAAGGGAGCUUGCUCCUGGAUUCAGCGGCGGACGGGUGAGUAAUGCCUAGGAAUCUGCCUGGUAGUGGGGAUAACGUCCGGAAACGGGCGCUAAUACCGCAUACGUCCUGAGGGAGAAAGUGGGGGAGUCUUCGGACCUCACGCUAUCAGAUGAGCCUAGGUCGGAUUAGCUAGUUGGUGGGUAAAGGCCUACCAAGGCGACGAUCCGUAACUGGUCUGAGAGGAUGAUCAGUCACACUGGAACUGAGACACGGUCCAGACUCCUACGGGAGGCAGCAGUGGGGAAUAUUGGACAAUGGGCGAAAGCCUGAUCCAGCCAUGCCGCGUGUGUGAAGAAGGUCUUCGGAUUGUAAAGCACUUUAAGUUGGGAGGAAGGGCAGUAAGUUAAUACCUUGCUGUUUUGUACGUUACCAACAGAAUAAGCACCGGCUAACUUUGUGCCAGCCGCCGCCGUAACGACCG
rnacentral:rRNA from 1 species